rnacentral:rRNA from 1 species
AUUGAACGCUGGCGGCAGGCCUAACACAUGCAAGUCGAGCGGAUGAAGAGAGCUUGCUCUCUGAUUUAGCGGCGGACGGGUGAGUAAUGCCUAGGAAUCUGCCUGGUCGUGGGGGAUAACGUUCCGAAAGGAACGCUAAUACCGCAUACGUCCUACGGGAGAAAGCAGGGGACCUUCGGGCCUUGCGCUAUCAGAUGAGCCUAGGUCGGAUUAGCUAGUUGGUGAGGUAAUGGCUCACCAAGGCUACGAUCCGUAACUGUUCUGAGCGGAUGGUCCGACACACUGGAACUGUGACACGGUCCAGACUCCUACGGGAGACAGCAGUGGGGAAUAUUAGACAAUGGGCGAAAGCCUGAUCCAGCCAUUCCGCGUGUGUGAAGAAGGUCUUCGGAUUGUAAAGCACUUUAAGUUGGGAGGAAGGGCAGUAAGUUAAUACCUUGCUGUUUUGACGUUACCGACAGAAUAAGCACCGGCUAACUUCGUGCCAGCCGCCGCGGUAAGAC